UACGUAGGUGGCAAGCGUUGUCCGGAUUUACUGGGUGUAAAGGGCGUGUAGCCGGGCUGACAAGUCAGAUGUGAAAUCCGGGGGCUCAACCCCCGAACUGCAUUUGAAACUGUUGGUCUUGAGUAUCGGAGAGGCAGGCGGAAUUCCUAGUGUAGCGGUGAAAUGCGUAGAUAUUAGGAGGAACACCAGUGGCGAAGGCGGCCUGCUGGACGACAACUGACGGUGAGGCGCGAAAGCGUGAGGAGCAAACAGG
rnacentral:rRNA from 1 species